rnacentral:tRNA from 1 species
GCCUGGGUGGAUCAAAUGGUUAAUUUUCAACUACUAACUGGAAGGUUGGUGGUUCAAACCCACCCUGAGGUG